GUAAGCUACUAAGAGCGAACGGUGGAUGCCUUGGCUAGUAGAGGCGAUGAAAGACGUGCCAGGCUGCGAUAAGUCUCGGGGAGCCGUCAAGGGGCUUUGAUCCGGGAAUUUCUGAAUGGGGCAACCCAAUACAUAGCGAUAUGUGUUACCAUUAAUGGAGCCAACGCGGGGAACUGAAACAUCUAAGUACCCGCAGGAAGAGAAAUCAAUAGAGAUUACGCUAGUAGCGGCGAGCGAACGCGUAAGAGGGCAAACCACUAGUUUACUAGUGGGGUUGUAGGACCGCAACAUAGACUAGGAUCUGAUAAUAGAACAAUCUGGAAAGGUUAGGCAUAGAGGGUGAUACUCCCGUAUAUGAAAUCACAUCCUUACUUAGCGGUAUCCUGAGUAGGACGGGACACGUGAAAUCCUGUCUGAAGCCGGGUCGACCACGAUCCAACCCUAAAUACUACUACUAGACCGAUAGCGUACAAGUACCGUGAGGGAAAGGUGAAAAGAACGGCGGUGAGCCGAGUGAAAUAGAACCUGAAACCGUUUGCUUACAAUCAUUCAGAGCACUAUGCUAUACUCUUUAAAAUUAAUCCAGCUUGGCUUUUUAGCCCUUUUUUAUGAAACUGCGACUGCGGCAGCCAGAUCCGGCUAGCCUUGCCUUGUUUCAUAAAAAAUCAUCUAAAAAUCCUGCGCAUUUGAAAUUCUAAAUUUUGAUCUGAUAAAAUUUCAUCAUAAAUGACACAAACAAAAUUUUAUAGUCUAAAUUUAGAGAUAACGAUUAGCGAUUAGUUUUAAUGAGUAUAGCAGUGUGAUGGACUGCCUUUUGCAUAAUGAGCCUGCGAGUUGUGGUGUCUGGCGAGGUUAAGGAAACCCGGAGCCGUAGCGAAAGCGAGUCUUAAUAGGGCGAUUAGUCAGAUGCUGCAGACCCGAAACGAUGUGAUCUAUCCAUGAGCAGGUUGAAGCCGGUGUAAGAGCCGGUGGAGGACCCAACCGACGGCCGUUGAAAAGGCUCCGGAUGACUUGUGGAUAGGGGUGAAAGGCCAAUCAAACAUCGUGAUAGCUGGUUCUCUCCGAAAUAUAUUGAGGUAUAGCGUCGUGUAGUAGUUAUAAGGGGUAGAGCACUGAAUGGGCUAGGGCAUACACCAAUGUACCAAACCCUAUCAAACUCCGAAUACUUAUAGCGUAACCACGGCAGUCAGGCGGCGAGUGAUAAAAUCCGUCGUCAAGAGGGAAACAACCCGGACUAACAGCUAAGGUCCCCAAAUCUCAUUUAAGUGGAAAACGAUGUGAAGUUACUGAAACAACCAGGAGGUUGGCUUAGAAGCAGCCAUCCUUUAAAGAAAGCGUAAUAGCUCACUGGUCUAGUGAUUUUGCGCGGAAAAUAUAACGGGGCUAAAAUGAGUACCGAAGCUUUAGACUUAGUUUUACUAAGUGGUAGGAGAGCGUUGCAUUCAGCGUUGAAGGUGUACCGGUAAGGAGCGCUGGAGCGAAUGCAAGUGAGCAUGCAGGCAUGAGUAGCGAUAAUUGGGGUGAGAAUCCCCAACGCCGUAAACCCAAGGUUUCCUACGCGAUGCUCGUCAUCGUAGGGUUAGUCGGGUCCUAAGCAAAGUCCGAAAGGGGUAUGCGAUGGAAAAUCGGUUAAUAUUCCGAUACCGAUAUCAGUGUGCGACGGAAGGACGCUUAAAGUUAGUGGAGCUAGCGGAUGGAAGUGCUAGUCUAAGGAAGUAGGUUGAGUUAUAGGCAAAUCCGUAACUCUUUAUCCGAGAUCUGAAAGGCUUCUGACGCUCUUCGGAGUAGAUGAAGAAUCCAUGAUACUAUCGAGCCGAGAAAAGUUUCUAAGUUUAGCUGAUAUCGCCCGUACCGUAAACCGACACAGGUGGGUGGGAUGAGUAUUCUAAGGCGCGUGGAAGAACUCUCUUCAAGGAACUCUGCAAAAUAGCACCGUAUCUUCGGUAUAAGGUGUGCCUAGCUUCGUUAAGAAUUUACUUCGUAAGCGAAGAAGGUUACAACAAAGAGUCCCUCCCGACUGUUUACCAUAAACACAGCACUCUGCUAACUCGUAAGAGGAUGUAUAGGGUGUGACGCCUGCCCGGUGCUCGAAGGUUAAUUGAUGACGUUAGCUCUGCGAAGCGUUUGAUCGAAGCCCGAGUAAACGGCGGCCGUAACUAUAACGGUCCUAAGGUAGCGAAAUUCCUUGUCGGUUAAAUACCGACCUGCAUGAAUGGCGUAACGAGAUGGGAGCUGUCUCAAAGAGGGAUCCAGUGAAAUUGUAGUGGAGGUGAAAAUUCCUCCUACCCGCGGCAAGACGGAAAGACCCCGUGGACCUUUACUACAGCUUGACACUGCUAUUGGGAUAAAAAUGUGCAGGAUAGGUGGGAGGCUUUGAUCCAUAGACGCCAGUUUAUGGUGAGCCGUUGUUGAGAUACCACUCUUUUUUAUUCUGAUAGCUAACUAGCUUGAGUUAUCCUCAAGUAGGACAAUGUCUGGUGGGUAGUUUGACUGGGGCGGUCGCCUCCCAAAAUGUAACGGAGGCUUACAAAGGUUGGCUCAAAGCGGUUGGAAAUCGCUUGCAGAGUAUAAAGGCAAAAGCCAGCUUAACUGCGAGACAUACACGUCGAGCAGAGACGAAAGUCGGUCUUAGUGAUCCGGUGGUUCUGUGUGGAAGGGCCAUCGCUCAAAGGAUAAAAGGUACCCCGGGGAUAACAGGCUGAUCUCCCCCAAGAGCUCACAUCGACGGGGAGGUUUGGCACCUCGAUGUCGGCUCAUCGCAUCCUGGGGCU
rnacentral:rRNA from 1 species